rnacentral:rRNA from 1 species
GACGAACGCUGGCGGCGUGCCUAAUACAUGCAAGUAGGACGCAGUUGCGAACGGGUGAGUAACGCGUAGGUAACUACCUAUUAGAGGGGGAUAACUAUUGGAAACGAUAGCUAAUACCGCAUACUAGUAGAUGGACCUGCGUUGUAUUAGCUAGUAGGUAGGGUAAUGGCCUACCAAGGCGGUGACGGGUAGCCGGCCUUGGAGGGUGACCGGCAACAAUGGGCAUGUGAUACGGCCCAGACUCCUACGGGAGGCAGCAGUAGGGAAUCUUCGGCAAUGGGGGGAACCCUGACCGAGCAACGCCGCGUGAGUGAAGAAGGUUUUCGGAUCGUAAAGCUCUGUUGUUAAGGAAGCGGUACUUAACCAGAAAGGGACGGCUAACUACGUGCCAGCAGCCGCGGUAAUUC